GAUGAACGCUGGCGGCGUGCUUAACACAUGCAAGUCGAACGGGAUCCAAGGGGUGCUUGCACUUUUUGGUGAGAGUGGCGAACGGGUGAGUAACACGUGAGUAACCUGUCCUUUUCUUUGGGAUAAGCAUUCGAAAGGGUGUUUAAUACCUUAUGUUCUGUCUGCCUCGCAUGGGGUGGGUGGGAAAGGCUUUGGCCGGAUUUGGGUGGGCUCGCGGUCUAUCUGCGUGUUGGUGGGGUGAUGGCUUACCAAGGCUUUGACGGGUAGCCGGCCUGAGAGGGUGGUCGGUCACAUCGGGACUGAGAUCCGGCCCAGAAUCCGGCGGAGGGCAGCAGUGGGGGAUAUUGCACAAUGGGCGAAAGCCUGAUGCAGCGACGCCGCGUGGGGGAUGAAGGCGUUCGGGUUGUAAACUUCUUUUGCUCUGAACAAGGCAUGCCAGUGGGUGUGUUGAGUGUAGGGGUUGAUUAGCGCCGGCUAACUACGUG
rnacentral:rRNA from 1 species